UAUUCCCUUUUAAAAUAACAAAAGAAAAUACUCAAUAGAUGAAACACUAAAAUCGGUCCAGAGACAGAAGUAGCGAAACUCUCAUCUCGAACACAUCGACUCGAUGUGAAGAACAGAGAAGCGCCCAAAAUUGGUCCUCUAUAGCUAGAAAUCCCAAACUGAAACCCAAAAUCGGUCCUCUCUAGCUAGAAAUCUGUCCAGAUAAUAGAAAUCCCAAAUCGAAGUCCCUCAAAAAUCCCACCCAAAUCAAAAUCCUUCAAAUCAGAAUGUGAAUUCGAUUGGGUGUUUAUGAUACUUGCCGGAAACUUCAUUUUGAAGCUAAAUCUCAAGAUUGGAAGCUGGUUUGAUGAGUUUUGGUUUGAAUUUGUGAAUCGAGUGUGCGAAGAAGAAGACCACUAGGGUCUUUCGAUUCAAAGAUUCUUCAACUUCAAGUAUUCAUGAACUUCUACACUGCUGCGGAAGUCAGCAAAGGGCAAGAAAAUAUAGAAGUGAAAUUUUAACAACUCAGGUAUGUUAAAAUCCCUAAUCUUUUAGACUUUAACAACUCAGGUAUGUUAAAAUCCCUAAUCUUUUAGACUCGGCAUUUAGAACUGUACAACUCCUUGCUAAGCUUUAGUCGGGUCGUAUUUUAAACUAGUUCAGUUUGUACCCCAUAGCGUGCUUCUUCUUUGUUGUGUUCGAGAUGUAAAGAAAUAGUAUGAAUCUGAUUGAAUAUUGACCAAUUGGACUACAUGUAGCGAAUCUGCAGCUCAGCUCCUAAGCUGUUGGCGUACAGACAGAAGGCAAACAUAAGACGAGAUUGUGGGCAAGGGCAAGGGCAAGGGGGUGGAGGGGGUGAGAGAAUGCAUUAAGUUCCUCUUGCAACUAUGACUAACCUUUUGUAGUGCUAAAUUGUUUGAUGGAAUAGGAAAGUUAUAUUUAGUGCUUGAUUUGAGAAAAUGUACUUGCUUUAAGUUCGUUUAAUCUCAAAAUAUCAUCAUACAGAUUUGUUAAUGAGACUAGAUAAAUUUCAAAUUAUCAUUUUCCUAUUUGAUGUCAUCUGCUUCCUUAAUAUUGUAUCUUACUGUGCUUAUGCCUUGCAAGAAUGUGUUCAAGUCAAAAAUCACUGUCUGUCUCACAGUGCAGUGACUAGGUUCCGACUGAGUUUGAUAUUUCUCUGCAUAAGCCCUGUAAUUUUACAAGACUCCACUUGUGGCAUAAGGAUCAGGGAGGCAGCUUAUUUCUAGUUGUUCAGGGACAAGUCACUUAAAUAGUGGUAUCGUUCAAGGAUGGUGUCGGGCAAGGAGCAGUUACAAGGCACUUAAUAUUUUGUCGUUUUUGGGAUAUGUAUAUGCGUACAAUUACAAUGCACAAUGAAGUGUCGGGUAGUAUAUAUGUAAUUGACUUUUUAAUAAUGAUAAUAUUUAUAAUAUUCGGCUUAAGAAAUU